AGAGUUUGAUCCUGGCUCAGAACGAACUCUGGCGGCGUGGAUAAGACAUGCAAGUCGAACGAGAGAAUUGCUAGCUUGCUAAUAAUUCUCUAGUGGCGCACGGGUGAGUAACACGUGAGUAACCUGCCCCCGAGAGCGGGAUAGCCCUGGGAAACUGGGAUUAAUACCGCAUAGUAUCGAAAGAUUAAAGCAGCAAUGCGCUUGGGGAUGGGCUCGCGGCCUAUUAGUUAGUUGGUGAGGUAACGGCUCACCAAGGCGAUGACGGGUAGCCGGUCUGAGAGGAUGUCCGGCCACACUGGAGCUGAGACACGGUCCAGACACCUACGGGUGGCAGCAGUCGAGAAUCAUUCACAAUGGGGGAAACCCUGAUGGUGCGACGCCGCGUGGGGGAAUGAAGGUCUUCGGAUUGUAAACCCCUGUCAUGUGGGAGCAAAUUAAAAAGAUAGUACCACAAGAGGAAGAGACGGCUAACUCUGUGCCAGCAGCCGCGGUAAUACAGAGGUCUCAAGCGUUGUUCGGAAUCACUGGGCGUAAAGCGUGCGUAGGCUGUUUCGUAAGUCGUGUGUGAAAGGCGCGGGCUCAACCCGCGGACGGCACAUGAUACUGCGAGACUAGAGUAAUGGAGGGGGAACCGGAAUUCUCGGUGUAGCAGUGAAAUGCGUAGAUAUCGAGAGGAACACUCGUGGCGAAGGCGGGUUCCUGGACAUUAACUGACGCUGAGGCACGAAGGCCAGGGGAGCGAAAGGGAUUAGAUACCCCUGUAGUCCUGGCAGUAAACGGUGCACGCUUGGUGUGCGGGGAAUCGACCCCCUGCGUGCCGGAGCUAACGCGUUAAGCGUGCCGCCUGGGGAGUACGGUCGCAAGAUUAAAACUCAAAGAAAUUGACGGGGACCCGCACAAGCGGUGGAGUAUGUGGCUUAAUUCGAUGCAACGCGAAGAACCUUACCUGGGCUUGACAUGUAAUGAACAACAUGUGAAAGCAUGCGACUCUUCGGAGGCGUUACACAGGUGCUGCAUGGCCGUCGUCAGCUCGUGUCGUGAGAUGUUUGGUUAAGUCCAGCAACGAGCGCAACCCCUGUUGCCAGUUACCAGCACGUGAAGGUGGGGACUCUGGCGAGACUGCCCAGAUCAACUGGGAGGAAGGUGGGGACGACGUCAGGUCAGUAUGGCCCUUAUGCCCAGGGCUGCACACGUACUACAAUGCCCAGUACAGAGGGGGCCGAAGCCGCGAGGCGGAGGAAAUCCUAAAAACUGGGCCCAGUUCGGACUGUAGGCUGCAACCCGCCUACACGAAGCCGGAAUCGCUAGUAAUGGCGCAUCAGCUACGGCGCCGUGAAUACGUUCCCGGGUCUUGCACACACCGCCCGUCA
rnacentral:rRNA from 1 species